UUGAGUUCUGCAUGUAAAGAAGUGGACAUGCUACCUUCACAGCCAAGUUCAAGAUGCGUUCACUAAGUACAGCAUAAACAGUAAAUUGAUCCUGCUGCCCUGGUUGAACUGCAACAGGAACCACGUAUGGCAAGAAAAAAAAGGGGCAGGCAUCCCGCCCGACCAGCAGCGUCUGAUCUUCACUGGCAAGCAGCUUGAGGACAGCCGCAUGCUGUCUGACUACAACGUCCAGAAAGAGUAGACACCUCACUUGGUGCUGUUGCUGUGCAGUGGAGCAAAGCACAAGAACAAGAAGCUCGUGACGAAAGUCUAGUUGGCUGUGCUGAAAUUAUGCAAGGUGAACGAGAAUGGCAAGAUCACUCGCCUGAGGCGUGAGUGUCCCAGCGAGGACUGUGGAGUGGGUGUCAUCAUGGCCGUGCACUUUGACAGGCAGUACUGUGGCAAGUUGUGCUUGACCUAUGUCUACAACAAGGCCAGUGAGGAGUAUACAACGUUGGGGCCACCUGUUGCUGCUUCGUGUAAAAUAAAAACCCACGCCAAA